rnacentral:tRNA from 1 species
AAAUAAGAAGCAAUAAAAUUGCAUCUAGUUUCGACCUAGAAGUUUGACUCACCUAGUCCUUAUUUA